AUCGUCAAAUCCGUCGUCAAUUUCAAUUGGAAAUCCAUUGCAAAAACCCUAAAACCACCACUGGAAAACUCAACUCUUUUUGUAUUUUUCUGCGCUCUCAAAUUGUUUAAAAAAAACGAAAAUUCCAAAUUCCAUGAAAUUAUAGAUACAAUUUCCAUACAUAUACGUACAGAUUCUGUAUCUAUACGGCAUGGCGCCGAUCGGGUUUCUGGCGAAGUCGCGGCCUUACAUCCAGCGGCAGAACCUCAAAUUCAUCUCCACAUUUGUUCACCUCCAAGCGGAGCCGCAGCUGGCGGAGCCGCCGGCGUCGAUUCCGCCGCCGCUCCCGCCGAACCCCGCCUCCGGCAGUCCGCGCUACAGUGAGAACUGGCGGAAUCCGUCCGCCGCUCUGGCGGGAGACGGCGCGCUCGUCCCCGUCGGAUUAGGGUUUUUGCAGCAGAAUCAGGCAUCGCGAAUGCAGGUGUUCGCUCAAUCGCUUGAUGCGGAGAGUCUGAUUAAUCAGUUCGCGGAUUGGAUGACGACGCAGCGCUGGGACGACAUGAAGCAGCUCUUUGAGUCGUGGAUUAGGUCGUUGGAUAGGAGUGGGAAGCCCAAUACGCCUGAUGUUAAUCUUUAUAAUCAUUAUUUGCGUGCGAAUGUGAUGAGUGGGGCAUCUACCGAGGAAUUGCUUGGUGUUUUGGCGCAGAUGGAAGAUUACGGGAUCGCGCCAAAUUCUGCUUCGUUUAAUCUUGUGCUCAAGGCAAUGCAGAGGAGUGGUGACAUGCUCGCUGCUGAGAAAUUGAUUGAAAGGAUGCUUGAGACCGGAAAAAUACAUAAGGAAUCUUUGCCUGAUAACGAAUCAUUUGAUUUAGUUAUUGAGAUGCUACUCUCAAAAAACCACAUUGAUUCUGCCCUGAAGUACGUAGAUCUAACAUUGAAAUCUGGGUAUAUGUUAUCUAUGAAAGCAUUCAUGAAUUGUGUGCAACGUUGUGUUACUAAUGGGAGGCUGGAUACAUUGGUCUCAAUUAUUGAGAGAUGCAAGAAAAUGGAUCAAAACAAAUCCUUGUGUCCUCCUUGGCGCAUAUGCACUUAUAUUGCUGAUGUCGCAAUGCAAUCAGAUAACAGUGUGCUCGUUUAUUAUGCUUUUGAGUUCAUGGCCAAAUGGAUUGCACGAGGGGAGGUUGCAAGGCCUCCUGUUUUUCUUUCUGUAGAAGAAGGAUUAGUUGUGACAGCCCUAGGCACUGCUGGUAGAACUUACAAUUCUGCACUCCUGGAUGGUGCAUGGGCUGUCCUUAAGCGUUCAUUACGCCAAACUAGCCUUCCCAUUCCUGAAACAUACCUGGCGAAAAUAUAUGGACUUGCUAAUUUAGGGAACCUGCCAAAGGCUUUUGGUACUCUUCGUGAAUUUGAGGCAGCAUAUGGAAAUGCUGAUCGUGAAGACGUAGAGGACCUGUUCUCUCCUUUUCAUUCUUUAAAACCUCUGGUUAUGGCAUGCUGCAGAGAUGGAUUUUCGAGUUUAGAUUCAGUUUAUUAUCAGCUGGAGAAUUUAAGUAAAGCUGACCCUCCAUACAAGUCUGUUACUGCUCUCAAUUGUAUUGUUCUUGGCUGUGCAAAUAUAUGGGAUGUUGAUCGUGCCUACCAGACAUUUACUGCCAUUGAGAUGUCUUUCGGACUGACCCCAGACAUUCAUUCAUACAAUGCCCUGAUUUGUGCUUUUGGGAAGCUUGGCAAGAGAGAUGAAGCUGUAAAAGUAUUUGAGCACUUUGUUGGACAAGGUGUGAAACCAAAUGCUACUACGUAUUCACUGCUUGUUGAUGCUCAUCUUGUUAAGCGGGAUCCAAAAGCUGCGCUCUCUAUUGUGGAUGAAAUGGUCAUUGCAGGGUAUGAGCCAUGCAAGGAUAUACUAAAAAAGGUCCGAAGGCGUUGUGUCCGAGAGAUGGAUUAUGAAUCUGACGACAAGGUGGCAGCCUUUGCAAAACAGCUCAACAUUAGAAUGGGAAAUGAGAUGCGCAGAAAUACACUCUUUAAUCUUCAAUACAGAGAGAACGCGUAACUUAAAAACUGAGGUCUAUUUCUUGUUUCAAGAAUCGGAUCGGAACACACUAUUUCAUGCGUAAUAUGGAUAAAUGGCAGCAAUGUAGCUUUUUUCAUGCUAUUAGUCAUGUCUCUUGACCCCAUAUCUGGAAAAAAGCUUCGGAGGGUCAAUUGUUAACUCUGAGACAUCGUGAUGAUGGUACUCGACUGCUUAUCAGAAAUAAAUAAAGAAUCCGGUGUAGCUUUACAUUUUUGGUUGAUUUAAUCACUUUAGCUUCAUCACAUGUCCUACUGCAGAUUAUGAUUUCAUUUUCUGCUUCGAUUUUCAGUAGGUUUCUUGUGUACCUUGUAUUCUGGUUCUGGAGAUAUUAGAGAUACGGAGCGUAUCAUUCGUUAUUGAUUUUGAGUUAAGAAAUGGUACAGCUUCCACCACAUUUGCUAAGGUGGUUUGUGGCCUUGCUCUUAUUUUGGAUCUGGUUGUAUUUAUUAUUAAUAUUUUUGAUCUUCAGUUUCCAGCUUCAGAAA